AAAGGUUUCCACGUCUUUACAAAGGGUGUUUCGUUUUCCGCCCCUACCGUAAUGCUAAUGCUAAUGCCACAUUAUAAAUUGGCAAAAACUUGGGCAGAUACUUGUCGCUAAACAAACUGGUCCCCAGGGCAAAGUUGUCAGUAAGGAUGAUCUGUGUGAGAAGUUGUCAGUUAUCAACGAAAUGUACUUUGCUAUCACUCUGGAUCGUAAAACCGCCGUUCCCACUUAUAAUUGCGUGUAGAAAGGGUGGAACUAGCAUUGAAGAUCUUGCUGAGAACUUCCCAGAUAUGAUUAUAUUUUUGGUUGUUUGGCAGUGUUGGCAAGCAAGGAGCGAUGUUUUAACGUCAUCCAUUUGUUUGUUGUUUGGAAGGUAACGUAUUGAUGUUUUCCAAGGAAUUACAGACGAAGAGGCUGCGAAGGUGGUGAUAAUCAGCUGGUUGCUGCUGAUGCUAAGCUGAAGUUUGAUGAUA